AUUGAACGCUGGCGGCAGGCCUAACACAUGCAAGUCGAGCGGAUGAGUGGAGCUUGCUCCAUGAUUCAGCGGCGGACGGGUGAGUAAUGCCUAGGAAUCUGCCUGGUAGUGGGGGACAACGUUUCGAAAGGAACGCUAAUACCGCAUACGUCCUACGGGAGAAAGCAGGGGACCUUCGGGCCUUGCGCUAUCAGAUGAGCCUCGGUCGGAUUAGCUAGUAGGUGAGGUAAUGGCUCACCUAGGCGACGAUCCGUAACUGGUCUGAGAGGAUGAUCAGUCACACUAGAACUGGGACACGGUCCAGACUCCUACGGGAGGCAGCAGUGGGAAAUAUUGGACAAUGGGCGAAAGCCUGAUCCAGCCAUGCCGCGUGUGUGAAGAAGGUCUUCGGAUUGUAAAGCACUUUAAGUUGGGAGGAAGGGCAGUAAGUUAAUACCUUGCUGUUUUGACGUUACCAACAGAAUAAGCACCGGCUAACUUCGUGCCAGCCGCCGCAGUAAGAC
rnacentral:rRNA from 1 species